UGGCACAAUGAUUAAGCGUGCUCGGCUGCUAACUGAAAGGUUGGUGGUUCAAAUCCACC
rnacentral:tRNA from 1 species